GACGAACGCUGGCGGCGUGCCUAAUACAUGCAAGUUGAGCGCUGAAGACUGGUACUUGUACCGGUUGGAUGAGCAGCGAACGGGUGAGUAACGCGUGGGUAACCUGCCCUAUAGAGGGGGAUAACUAGAGGAAACUUUAGCUAAUACCGCAUAAAAUCUAAUAACACAUGUUAUAAGAUUGAAAGUGCCAACUGGUACACUAUAGGAUGGACCCGCGUUGUAUUAGCUAGUUGGUGAGGUAAAGGCUCACCAAGGCGAUGAUACAUAGCCGACCUGAGAGGGUGAUCGGCCACACUGGGACUGAGACACGGCCCAGACUCCUACGGGAGGCAGCAGUAGGGAAUCUUCGGCAAUGGACGAAAGUCUGACCGAGCAACGCCGCGUGAGUGAAGAAGGUUUUCGGAUCGUAAAACUCUGUUGUAAGAGAAGAACACCAGUAAGGGUGGAAAGCUUACUGGCUGACGGUAUCUUACCAGAAAGCCACGGCUAACUACGUGCCAGCAGCCGCGGUAAUACGUAGGUGGCAAGCGUUAUCCGGAAUUAUUGGGCGUAAAGGGUGCGCAGGCGGCCAUAUAAGUCUGGGGUGAAAGACCGAAGCUCAACUUCGGUUUGCCUUGGAAACUGUAUGGCUAGAGUGCAAGAGAGGACAAUGGAAUUCCAUGU
rnacentral:rRNA from 1 species